rnacentral:rRNA from 1 species
UGGCAGUGUUGCACUGUCCGAGUUGUAGAUGAGGAGUAGUCCGUCUGGACUGCAUGGCGUCCAAGUACAAUAGGCCGUCAGUGGGACAUCAUAGAGGGUGACAAUCCCGUCCUUGACGCCAAUGUGCAAGUCUAUUACGAUGGCUAUCUCAGAGAGUCGAGCAGUUUGGGAUUUGCUGCUUAAACAUGGGAGGUAGAUUCCUUCUAAAGCUAAAUACAGGCGAGAGACCGAUAGAGAACAAGUACCGCAAGGGAAAGAUGAAAUAGCACUCUGUGAAGGGAGUCAAAAGGCGUGAAAUUGUUGCGAGAGAAGCGAUUCAAGUCAGCGUAGCUAGGCCCAUCAAGCGUCUUCGCUUUGGACUAGCUUUGCCAGCGGUCUUGUCCCUUGAAGAGACUUGACUUGUAAUAUGUCCAGCCUGGCGUGCACAGGCAGCCCCUUCUGGGGGCCAGUGGCAUGGCUGGUGGAAUGGCUUGCAAUCGACCCGUCUUGAAACACGGACCAAGGAGUCUAACAUGUAUGCGAGUAUAAGGGUGGCAAACCCGUAUGCGCAAUGAAAGUGAUUUUCGGUGAUUGAGAAUGGCCUGAUGACCAGACAAGCAAUAUAUGU